rnacentral:tRNA from 1 species
GCCUGCGUGGCUCAGUCGGUUGAGCGUCUGACUUCGGCUCAGGUCAUGAUCUCGCGGUCCGUGAGUUAGAGCCCCGCAUCGGGCU